UAAUACAUGCAAGUCGAACGCGUUGGCCCAAUUGAUUGAUGGUGCUUGCACCUGAUUGAUUUUGGUCGCCAACGAGUGGCGGACGGGUGAGUAACACGUAGGUAACCUGCCCAGAAGCGGGGGACAACAUUUGGAAACAGAUGCUAAUACCGCAUAACAGCGUUGUUCGCAUGAACAACGCUUAAAAGAUGGCUUCUCGCUAUCACUUCUGGAUGGACCUGCGGUGCAUUAGCUUGUUGGUGGGGUAACGGCCUACCAAGGCGAUGAUGCAUAGCCGAGUUGAGAGACUGAUCGGCCACAAUGGGACUGAGACACGGCCCAUACUCCUACGGGAGGCAGCAGUAGGGAAUCUUCCACAAUGGGCGCAAGCCUGAUGGAGCAACACCGCGUGAGUGAAGAAGGGUUUCGGCUCGUAAAGCUCUGUUGUUAAAGAAGAACACGUAUGAGAGUAACUGUUCAUACGUUGACGGUAUUUAACCAGAAAGUCACGGCUAACUACGUGCCAGCAGCCGCGGUAAUACGUAGGUGGCAAGCGUUAUCCGGAUUUAUUGGGCGUAAAGAGAGUGCAGGCGGUUUUCUAAGUCUGAUGUGAAAGCCUUCGGCUUAACCGGAGAAGUGCAUCGGAAACUGGAUAACUUGAGUGCAGAAGAGGGUAGUGGAACUCCAUGUGUAGCGGUGGAAUGCGUAGAUAUAUGGAAGAACACCAGUGGCGAAGGCGGCUACCUGGUCUGCAACUGACGCUGAGACUCGAAAGCAUGGGUAGCGAACAGGAUUAGAUACCCUGGUAGUCCAUGCCGUAAACGAUGAGUGCUAGGUGUUGGAGGGUUUCCGCCCUUCAGUGCCGGAGCUAACGCAUUAAGCACUCCGCCUGGGGAGUACGACCGCAAGGUUGAAACUCAAAGGAAUUGACGGGGGCCCGCACAAGCGGUGGAGCAUGUGGUUUAAUUCGAAGCUACGCGAAGAACCUUACCAGGUCUUGACAUCUUGCGCCAACCCUAGAGAUAGGGCGUUUCCUUCGGGAACGCAAUGACAGGUGGUGCAUGGUCGUCGUCAGCUCGUGUCGUGAGAUGUUGGGUUAAGUCCCGCAACGAGCGCAACCCUUGUUACUAGUUGCCAGCAUUAAGUUGGGCACUCUAGUGAGACUGCCGGUGACAAACCGGAGGAAGGUGGGGACGACGUCAGAUCAUCAUGCCCCUUAUGACCUGGGCUACACACGUGCUACAAUGGACGGUACAACGAGUCGCGAACUCGCGAGGGCAAGCAAAUCUCUUAAAACCGUUCUCAGUUCGGACUGCAGGCUGCAACUCGCCUGCACGAAGUCGGAAUCGCUAGUAAUCGCGGAUCAGCAUGCCGCGGUGAAUACGUUCCCGGGCCUUGUACACACCGCCCGUCACACCAUGAGAGUUUGUAACACCCAAAGUCGGUGGGGUAACC
rnacentral:rRNA from 2 species